UUGAAUGACAACCCUUAUGAGUAUGACUCAAAAGAAAUACGCACAAUAUUAUAGAAGAAGAAUUUUCUCAUUCUUGUGUGAUUUUUAUUUCUUAACUAAGCAACUAUUUUUAGGAGAAUGGCAGGGCACUAUUUAAAAGAAAAUCACGGACAAAUAGUUAAAAAAAACUCACUGAUGAAUUCGACAAAAAUUUGAUUUUACUAUGCAGCAC
rnacentral:lncRNA from 1 species